rnacentral:lncRNA from 1 species
ACUUCCUCCUGGACUCUUAUGAGGACUCAGCUCAUUUUCUGGUAUUAAUGUGCAUGUUGAAAACAAGCUGGGAGAAUCUGUAGCUUCAGGUUGCUGACUAUUUGAACAACCCAGGCAAGAGGUUCAGUCUUUGAAGUCAUUUUCCCUUUGGGAGCUUGACAGCCACCUGCCAGCCACAUUUGCGCCCUUCACCACAUUGUGAUCUCUGAAUGAACUCUUCCUACUGAUGCCUAGCAGCCUCUAUUCCAGAUCAAUUCUGUGGUAGGCAAAAUAGUGGCCUCUCGAAUAUCCACAUCCCCAGAACCUGCGAAAGACCUCCAGGAAAAGAAUGGAGCCCUGUCAUCACCUUGAUUUUUAGCUUAGUGAGACCCAAUGUUGGACUUCUGAAUUCCAGAAAGUUGCAAACUAUUUGUUGAAAAGACUUUGUUUUCCCCAUUAAACUGCACCAGCAUCAUUCAACCAUAGCACAGACUACCUCAUUCCUGACUUCCAUGCUGAAUUCCCUUCAGGGUGUGUCAAAACUGCACCCAUGGAGCAGUUCCAGGCAUGGAGAAGUUCCAGAACCAGGAAUCAAACCUGCACCGUAGCUGCAACUGAAGUCACAGCAGUGACAAAGCUGGAUCCUUAACCUGCUGCACCACCAGGGAACUCCAAUUUUUUCUAAUAUUUUAAUUCUAUCUUUUCUAAUUAGAAAAAAAUAGAUAUUACUAUUGCCAUUGUUGUUUACAUGUCACAUUGGUUUAGAAUUGCCCACAUAUUGUCUUUCUCUAACAAAAGAUCUGAUAAAUAAUCACAUCUACUUGUUCAGACUCUGAACUAAUUAAAAGAUAAGCAAGGAUUCAAACAUAUGGGGAAAAAAUGACAUAUUCAAGAAUGUGGCUUAAAUCUGCAGGCAAGAGAGUUUCAUGAUACUGAGCCACAGAAAGAAACUUUAUCCACACUCCAAUGAAAAUAGGGGUCCAUCUCAAUGUGAGAGUACUCCCCUAGAAAUAUGGAUCGAGGAUCAGCAUGGACCUUGUGCAUGCUAGCCAUAGGCAUCUGAUUACAAACAGUGUACAGCACCAGUUCUUUUGUUAUAUGUUAAGUACCAUAUAAUAGAAAGUUUUGUAAUCAAUGUAAAAUCCUCUGUUCUGCCCCUUUCUUAAGAAUUUGUAGCACUUAAAUGAAGAUGAAAGUUUAAAUCUGCUUUUCUUUUUAGGGCUGUACUAUGGCAUAUGGAAGUUUCUGGGCUAGGGGUUGAAUUGGAGCUGCAGGUGCCUGCCUACACCACAGCCACAGCAAAGCUGGAUCCAAGCCACAUUGCAACCUACACCACAGCUCAUGGCAAUGCCAGAUCUUUAGCCCAUUGAGUGUGGCCAGGGAUCAAACCCAAGUCUUCAUGGAUACUAGUCACGUUCAUUACCACUGAGCCACAACAGGAACUCCUAAAAUGAUUUUCUUAAACUACAAUUCUCUGAUAAUAUUUUUAAAUUUUUUUUAUAAUUUCUAGGGAGAACAAGAUAUCAAAGGGUUGACACAGGAGCAUAUAACACUGUGGUAUUUAAAAUAUAUAGCAAAUAGCUAUAUAUAUAUAUAUAUAAAGAGAGAGAGAGCAUGAGACAGAGAGAGAGAAGUGUUUUCAACGAAUUCUAGGGGUCAAGAUCAGAGCUCUUUCCUUGAAGAACUGAGCUAGUAGGCAAAUCAUUUAAGUAAUGAUUGUGCAAAGGAUAUAUAAGAAUCAGUCAUUAAAGCUGAGGUAAAAUCAGGGAUAGCACAUUGAAAUUUUGGCAGAAAUGAUAUCAUUAAUAUACAGGCCAAAGUUUAAAAUUUAAUCAGAAAGCUAAAUAUUGCACUAGCUUCAGGAUGGGACUAGGCGUUCUCUUGUGGUAUAGCAGGUUAAGGACCCAGUGUCACCACUGCUAUAGCAUGGAUUUGACCCCUGGCUUGGGAACUUCCACAUGCCACAGGUGUGGUCAAAAUCUUAAAUAAAUCAAUAAAGGAUGGAUUAGUGUUCCAUGACUGUCCUAUAUGGAAAAUGAGAUGAUGACCAGCACCUAGAGACACAAGUGUGGCAGGAGUCAGAAUUAACUGGCCCACUCUACUUGUAGAAUAAAAUCUUUUUCUAAAACCCACAAACUAAUAGAUUAGGGUUUGGAGGGCAAGUCAGCAAGAGUAGCUCCUUAUCUACAUGGGUCAGGCCCAUUGAUUGUUUACAAGUGAAGAGAUGGAAUAUAAUACAUAUUAGUAGUGGACAUGACCCUUGGCCAAGAAUUCCAGAGUCUUCCUUGCACAUGCUAUUUACAUGAAGUACUGCAGUAGUCAGAGUAUACCACCUCCACGGAUGUCUCUAGUAGAUGAGAAUUUAAGACUGUACAGAGAGAGCAAAAUGAGCAUGGGAAGGAAAGUAUAGUUAGUUCACAGAACUUUCAGUGCUGUAGCUGCUAUUCAGUGUGAUGGGUGGAAAUAAACCACCCCAUGGGAGUGGAAUCUGUCCAGAGAAAGAGAGAAAUGGCUUAUGUGGGAAAAUGUUGGUUGGAGAAGCAUUUGACAGUUUUCAUCAGUUAUUAACACAAAGGUAAGAGAGAAUAAGUGUAGAGGGGGGAAAAGUGGGAAAAGUUUGGAAAAGUAAUAUCUAGAUUUUUAGAGGGAUUCUGAAGCCAUGAAUACCAAGGCUGGUCAGCAUGGUUUUUUUUGUUUGUUUGUUUUUGUUUUUUGUUUGUUUUUUGUUUUGUUUUGUUUUUUGCUGAGAAAAACAGCAAGAGAAAACCAGCAAGAGAAAACAGAAGGUCGAUGUACUGAUGGAGUGAAGAUGAAUUUUUUCAAUCAUCUGACAACAAAUAUAUGCUUCAUGUGUUG